CUCUUUACUGAAACACACACUACUGCAUUAGUACUACUAGUAUUAAUACUGAAACACACACACAGUAAUGCAUUAGUACUACUAGUAUUAAUACUGAAACACACACACAGUAAUGCAUUAGUACUACUAGUACUACUACUAUUAAUAAUGAAACACACACAGUACUGCAUUAGGUCUCAACUAGUACUAAUACUAGAAGUACUAAUACUGAGACUAACAGAGAAUUUAAUUCAAAGGUCCAACAUCAACAGAAACCUGCUGAUCAGCUCAUAAAUCUGCUGAUACUACUCGUACUAUUAGUACUACAGAUACUACUAAUACUGAGCUGGGACUACCACUAAUAGUACUAUCUAUGUAUAUGUAUAUAGACAGAUUGCAUAGAUAGAUCAGAUACACUCACUGUCCUUAGAUAGAUGGAAAGAUAUGGAUAGGUAGAUAUUGAUAGGUAGAUAUGGAUAGGUAGAUAUUGAUAGGUAGAUAUUGAUAGGUAGAUAUGGAUAGGUAGAUAUUGAUAGGUAGAUAUUGAUAGGUAGAUAUGGAUAGGUAGAUAUGUAUAGGUAGAUAUUGAUAGGUAGAUAUGGAUAGGUAGAUAUGGAUAGGUAGAUAUGGAUAGGUAGAUAUUGAUAGGUAGAUAUGGAUAGGUAGAUAUGGAUAGGUAGAUAUGGAUAGGUAGAUAUGGAUAGGUAGAUAUGGAUAGGUAGAUAUUGAUAGGUAGAUAUGGAUAGGUAGAUAUUGAUAGGUAGAUAUGGAUAGGUAGAUAUUGAUAGGUAGAUAUUGAUAGGUAGAUAUGGAUAGGUAGAUAUUGAUAGGUAGAUAUUGAUAGGUAGAUAUGGAUAGGUAGAUAUGUAUAGGUAGAUAUUGAUAGGUAGAUAUGGAUAGGUAGAUAUGGAUAGGUAGAUAUGGAUAGAUUUAGAAUGUA